GAUGAACGCUAGCGAUAUGCUUAACACAUGCAAGUCGAGGGGCAGCACAAUGUAUCUUGCUAUCUGGGUUGCGACCGGCGCACGUGUGCGUAACGCGUUUGCAACUUGACCUAUACAGGAGGAUAACCCGCCGAAAGACGGACUAAUACUGCGUAUUCUCACAACUUGUCAUCGAGUGGUGAGGUCAGAAAUUCGGUAUAGCAUAGGCAUGCGUCCCAUUAGCUUGUUGGUGAGGUAACGGCUCACGAAGGCAACGCUGGGUAGGGGGACUGAGAGGUUAAGCCCGCGCGCGGGUACUGAGACACGGACAAGAAUACUACGCGAGGCAGCAGUCAGGAAGAUUGGGCGAUGAGCGCUAGACUGAACCAGCCAAGUCGAGUGAAGGACGACUGUCUUAUGGAUAGUAAACUUCUUUUAUACGGGAAUAACAAGAGUGACGUGUCACUCCCUGAAUGUACCGUAUGAAUAAGCAUCGGCUAACUCCGUG
rnacentral:rRNA from 1 species